CACUCACCGCCCGUCACAUCAACUUCGAAUCUGUUGCUACCCGAAGUCGCUGGCCGAAACCCCGUAAGGGAACGGGGAAGGCGCCCGAAAGGUAGUGGGUCCGGUGAGAGGGUG
rnacentral:rRNA from 1 species